rnacentral:misc_RNA from 1 species
GAUGAAGAACGUAGCGAAAUGCGAUAAGUAAUGUGAAUUGCAGAAUUCAGUGAAUCAUCGAAUCUUUGAACGCACCUUGCACCCUUUGGCAUUCUGAAGGGUAUGCUCGUUUGAGUGUCAUUGUACUCUCACACUCCCGAUCUUUGCAUUGGGAGCAGUGGACUUGGGUUUGCUGCUUCACCGUCGCUUACCUCAAAUAGGUUAGUGCAACUCUUGGUUGGACAUAGUACGGCGUGAUAAGUGUUCUUCGCCGGUGCCUCGCAAAGAGGGUGGCCGAUCGGGAAGUUGUGCUCCAAACCGUCUUCGGACAAUCUCUGACGACUUGACCUCAAAUCGAGUAAGACUACCCGCUGAACUUAAGCAUAUCAAUAAGCGGAGGA